UUUUGUUUCUGAUAUAACAGAGAAAACAUGUGGGGCAAAAAGUGGACAAAUAAAUAAUAAUAAUGUUAAAAUUCUAAUGCUGUGACCCUCGUCGGAUGGAGGAAUGGAUUUCAGGCUGAAGAUGAUUUCGUCUCUUGGACUUUUUAGUUACUUACUGAGCUGUUUCCCAAACUUUUGUCUCCAGAUCUAGCCUCCAGGUGUGUCCUUCCAAAACAAGGCCCAUGGGCUAAACGGGACAACUAUUAAGUGCACGUACACUUGUCUCUGUCUUCACUUCUGGAAGGAAAACCCAGAUAAACAUUGGGCAGGUGCUGCACAUCAGGCCUGUGUGAGGCAGGAGGGAUUCAAUGGUAACAAGCAUGUUUCCUGCUCUGAAGACACCCAUCCUAUUCAUUCUGAUAAAGGAGAAAGACAAAAGAAAACCCAUCUGGACAUAAAACCCAACUAAACAUACAAGUGGGCAGGAAAGACCCCCCAUGAAGGAGAGACCCAAAGGACAGACCCAAAGGACAGACCCAAAGGAGACUCAAAGGAGAGACUCAAAGGAAGAACAAGUGCUGACUGCAGAAGAGGAUCUUCACCAGAACCUGACCAAGCUGGCACCUGGAUCACAGACUUCUAGUCUCCAGAACUGUGGCGAAAUAAAUUUGUGGCUUCAGCUUCCAAAGAAGAAGUGAAAAUGGUGGAAUUUAUGUCAUACAUAUUUUAACACACACGUGUGUGCACAUGCAUGGUCACACACAAAAUUCCUGAACGCCACCCCUACGGAUCUCAAUUCUGUAAAUCUGGGACCUGGGAAUCUGCAUU